rnacentral:lncRNA from 1 species
UUCACAUAUAUGAAAUAAUAUACUACACAGUAUUUAUAAAACAAGUGUAAUCUUUCAUUUAGAUUUUCUAUUGCUGUGAGUAUAAAUAACACGCACAGGAAUAUAUAUUUUCUGUCGACGACACGCACAGGAAUAUGUGUUUUCUUGUCGGCUUCCUUCCCAAACCCACAGGAAUAUAUCUCGUGGCAAAAUCCCACGCGCGGCCUC